rnacentral:rRNA from 1 species
CCUACGGGUGGCAGCAGUGGGGAAUAUUGGACAAUGGGCGAAAGCCUGAUCCAGCCAUGCCGCGUGUGUGAAGAAGGCCUUCGGGUUGUAAAGCACUUUCAGUGGGGAAGAAAGCCUUGGGGCUAAUACCCUCGAGGAAGGACAUCACCCACAGAAGAAGCACCGGCUAACUCCGUGCCAGCAGCCGCGGUAAUACGGAGGGUGCGACCGUUAAUCGGAAUUACUGGGCGUAAAGCGCGCGUAGGCGGUCUGAUAAGCCGGUUGUGAAAGCCCCGGGCUCAACCUGGGAACGGCAUCCGGAACUGUCAGGCUAGAGUGCAGGAGAGGAAGGUAGAAUUCCCGGUGUAGCGGUGAAAUGCGUAGAGAUCGGGAGGAAUACCAGUGGCGAAGGCGGCCUUCUGGACUGACACUGACGCUGAGGUGCGAAAGCGUGGGUAGCAAACAGGAUUAGAUACCCCGGUAGUC